UCAACUUAUGCAGAAAUUGAGAACACGACAAAGUCUAAGCUUCAUGGCUGUUGUAGCAUCAACGUGGUUUUGUUGCAGCCAGCUAGUGAGAAAGGUAUGAUGGAGUCAAAUUGAGCUGCAGCUGCUGCAUACAGUUUAUCAAGCUGUUGUUAUCGCUAUUGUCACAACAGGAAGACUUCUUGAAUUGGAGUUUUUGGUCAGUUGGAGCUGUUCCACCAGGUAGCGUGAGUGUCUUCAGAGACGCUUAGCGGCCAUUUUGAUCCAAGACGCAGCAGAAAUGGGUUGUUGGUUGUGACGUUUCUCACGAUGAAAAUUAAAAGGUGAUUUAGCACGUAGAAACCAAUUUGCCAAAUCAUUCAACUCAGACUUGGGAAGUGCCUGUACAUUUCCGAAAUGGCGUGCCUCGUGUGUCUCGCUGCCUGUUCUUUGGCUUACGUCUCACCCCAUUCAACAGGAAAAAGUAAAACAAACGCUGGUGGUUACCUUGUUGCAGCCAAAUGGUGAAAGGUGUGACAAAGACAGAU